GUGUGGCAAACAGCUUUACCCACUGAACCGUCUUUCUUACCAGCCCCGGUUCUUUUUUUUUUUUUUUUUUUUUUUUUAAAGAUUUAUUUAUUUAUUUAUUGUAAGUACACUGUAGCUGUCCUCAGACACUCCAGAAGAGGGAGUCAGAUCUCGUUACGGAUGGUUGUGAGCCACCAUGUGGUUGCUGGGAUUUGAACUCCUGACCUUCGGAAGAGCAGUCGGGUGCUCUUACCCACUGAGCCAUCUCACCAGCCCCAGCCCCGGUUCUUUUUAUUAAAUCCUAGGAUUCAAUUGUGUUUGUGAGGCCUGGGGCUAAGUCUCCAUCAUAAAUCACUAAACAGACAAAGGUCCUUCCUUCUUGACCAACUCAGUGUUGAAAACUGUUGUGUGGCUUUUUCAACUUCAUUUUUUAUACAUAUACAUAUGUAUGUAUGUAGGUAAUAUGUAUAUAUAUGCAUAUGUAAUGUUUUUUAUAAUACAGUGAUUAUCAUACUCCCUUCACAUAAAUAAUGUGUGACUAUAGACUUGUCUAUAUUUUUCACAAUGCGAUUUUUUUUAAUUUGCUUUUUUCAUAUAACAGUGGAUCUUGGAAGUCUUUUCAAACCAGCAUAUUUAAUUUAGAUUCAUCUUUUUGUUGUGUUUUUGCUUUUAUCAGAUCUAAUUGUCUUUUUGCAGUUCUCGGGAUUAAACUCAGGGCCUUAGGCCUUUUAGGUACAUACAUUACCACUAAGCCGUAUACCCAUCUUUAAAAAAUUGAAGAAAGAAACUCAGUUGCAGGGUGCUUCAUCACACUGCCAGGGUAGAAUAUCAGACGGAGAGAAGCAGCGUAGCGACUCAUCUGGUUCUCGGCCCACAGGCAACGGGAUUGGGCAGACUAUUCAUGCCAUCUGAGCGUCCCUCCUCUGUAUGGAUAAGGACGGGUUAGAGGCGCCCUCCACAGGACUUGGGACGGUGCAAUGUGUGUUGAGUGCUUGCCUGGCAUGUACAGGCCCUGGGGGAAGGAAAAGCACUGUGUGUGGUCUGCAGGUUUAAAGGCAUUCUUGGGUUGGGGAUGCACUGGCAAAUGUAUUUGAUGGUGGCCAAUCACCAACCGGGAGGCUGCGCGUGGAAGUUCACGGAGAGUGCCACAGAGAGACCUGUGCUUCUGUCUCCUGCCCACCUAGUGAUGUCUCCGAGUCUCUGCUCGAUAAGUGCCUCUAUAGCAACCACUCUCCUCAUCCCGACAUCCUGAUCCGGACUUCUGGGGAGGUGCGGCUGAGUGACUUCUUGCUCUGGCAGGUAGGUUGUUUUGAAACAUGUUAUUUUGGGGUUGGGCUGAACCCUGGAACUGAAGCAGAACCCAUUCUCCACCAAUGUACGAGCAAGGCAGAGGGUCACCACGUAGAACAACCAGUACCUCCAGGUUGUACCUAGUAACAUUACUUUUCUUUCUUCACCUGACCCUGGGUGUAUAAUGUGUUCCUUGCUAUCCAAAAUGCAGAGUUUUAUCCUAAAGAGAAACCAAAGCCAUCCUACCCUAAUGAAAAUUUACAUAUGCCCCUUUCCAAGAAAUGUGUUUUGAGACGCUGGUUAAGCCGGGUGUCAGACCAGCACCACAAGAGCCUUCCCUUUCAGUUCGUCAUCUCUUCUUCAGAAUACAGGUCUCCAUCUGUGCAGGCAAAUCCUGUGAGAGAUUUCCACUGCAUCCAGACUCAGGCUUACUGUUGCCUUUUUGCUCUGCUAUUCCAGCUUAGGUCAUCCCUGAAAGAUCACAUCCAGUUAGUACUGUUUGUCUAAAGAUCUCUUGUUUUCAGCCAGGCAGUGGUGGUGCACACCUUUAAUCCCAGCACUUAGGAGGAGGCAGAGGCAGGUGGAUAGCUCUUGAGUUCAAGGGCAGCCUGGUAUACUGAAAAAAUUCCAGGACACCUAGGACUACACCAAGAAACCCAGUCUCAAAAAAAAAAAAAAAAAAAAAAAGGAAGAAAGAAGAAGGAGAGGUUGAGGGAGACUCAGCUUGGAAACAUCUCAUGUAUCAAGGUCCAGAAAAUUUUAAUGAAUAAAUGUUACAAUUGAGGACUGGGAUGCUGGUACUUGGUAAGGGCUGGUACAUACACAUGACAGCCUGUGUUUGGACCCUGGUACCCACAUAAAAAGCCUGCUGUGAUGGGGGGGCACACUUAGAAUCUCAAUGCUUGGAGAGCAAAGACAGAAGGAUCCCUAGAGCUCUGGCUGGCCAGCUUUGCCUGAUCUGUAAGCCCCAGUCUCAGAGAGCGAGCCUAUCUUCUGAGGAGCAGCACCCAAGGGUGACCUCUGACCUCUACAAGCACUCAGAGACAUAGACAAGUGAACUGGCAGCUAGCUACUGCAAAUGCUUUGACUUAAUGUUUGGGGAUCCUGAUGGAAAUUUAGUGUAUAGCUAAUGUUUUCUGCUGCUCAGAUCACACUUAAAAGUUUGCACUGAGCACAGUUAGGAAAUGACAGUGGUGGUGGGCUAGAUUCCUUACAGAGUGUGCACAAAGCCCUGAUUUGGUCCCUGGCACUUUGCAAGGAGGACAAAAAGGGAGGCAGAAAGAAGAUGGAGAAAAGGAAGGAGUUAGAAAUGGGAAAGAAAGAUAAAGACAAAAUAUACUGGUGAAGUAGAGAAUUUACCAAAUGGGUCACUCAGCAGAUACAGGGAUCCCAUGUCUCUAACAUGAGACUUAGCAUCUGGAUGUGGUGGCACACACCUUUAAUGCCAGCACUUGGGAGGCAGAGGCAGUUGAUCUGUAAGUUCAAGGACAGCCUGUUCUACAAGAAGGCUCGGGGAAAGUCAUUGCAGCCUUAGGAAAGAGAAGUGGCAGCUCUUCAUAGCACCUCCUGCCUUAGUAUUGCCCAGGAUUCGGAGGCAGAGGCAGAGGCAGGCUAUUAGUGUGAACUUUAGGGCUGCUGUUCUAUAGAGCAAAUCCAGGCCGGCCAGGGCUGCAUAGUGAGGCCUGUCUCAGAAUAAAAAGCCACUUUCUUUUGUUCUGGAGAAAGUACUUGGUAUCUUGGUAGGAGCUGUGGGGAAGGUGACAUUGGUGACAAUAUGUGAGCAAGUUUCCCCCUGGGGGGCAUUUGGUUGUUGUUCAGUACAGCAGACAGUAAGCAGUGGCUAUGGAGUGUUGAGGCCAGGGGUAUUCAUGUUCCCCCGGUUCAGGGCUUUUCCUUCAUGCAUAUUUCAUCUUCAUAGUCCGUAAAGACUUAUGCCCAGAGAGGUGAAAAAGCUCAGCCAAUUCUGUGGUAAUGGUAGACAGAGGCAGUUUGGCUUCAGAACCCAUGGGCUUAAGACACGGAGUCAUACUGCUGCUACUUAAAAUAACGGGAGCAGCCACCAUUUGUUCUGGCUGACUUUAUCAGACUGUGUGUCUGUCUCAGAUGACCUCUAAGGGCAGGGAGCCAAUGACAUAAUCCAGAUGUCAUUUCAUAGUCCUAAAAUUGGCUUUUAGAGACAUGGUGUAGCUGGGCGUGGUGGCACAUGCCUUUGGUACAAGAUCUCAGGAGGCAGGCAGAUCAAUGGGAAUCUCAAGCCCGCAUGGUCUACAUAGUUAAUUCUGUACCAGCCAGUGCUAUACAGUGAGCCUUUCUCUG
rnacentral:lncRNA from 1 species